GUUUUAAUGCUCCAGUCUUCCCAUAUCCACACCUUUGCUUCCUUUACAGUGAACUGCACUCGCAGCAACAGCAACAGCAGCAGCAGCAGCAACAGCAGUGCAGCAGCAGCAACAGCAGGGCAGCAGCAGCAA
rnacentral:miRNA from 1 species